UAAAAAAAAAAACAACAAAGUGUCGCUCGGUGGCAAUUGAAAGGCAAUAAUUGAGAUAUGGCCAGCAGCAGCAGCAGCAUCAGGAGUUGACAAAGGGCCGCCUGCCAAAGCACGCGUGAAUAUUUGUUAUAAAUUUGUCAAGCGGCGCAGGCAGACAAUGACUGCGGCUCCUUGGCCCUGGGCCGGGCUGUGCAGCUGUGCUGCCAGGAGAGACAGCUCGAAGAGAUCCCAAACACGGAUAGCGCAGAGGGCAAGAAGAAGCAGCAGGAGCAGCAGCAGGAGCAGGGUCGGCAGCCGCAUCGAGUCAUUGCAUUUCCAUUAAUUAAAGCGAGUCGCACUUUAUUGGGCCAUAGAGCGUUGCCACGCCCACAGUUGUCGCCUUUUGUUGCGCCUUUGUUGGACGCCAUUGUUGGGCUAAGUGGACAUCGUUUAUUGCACUUUUGUUGGGCCUCCUUUGAAAAUUAGUUGCGCUAUUCAAUCGAAAACUCGAGCCGUUUACUGCGACUGCAACUGCGACUGCGACUGCGCAACGCUGUAAAUUACCCGGCCGCGUACCCAUUUUCAGAUGUUGAUUGCACCCACACGCUCCAUUGUCCAUUGUCGUGCCCAGAGCUGGCCUGGCCGGGCCAUGCCAUGCCAUGUGUGUUCCCUCGAAACUCUGGCUCUAUGGGAUCGGGAUUGCCUCCGCGUUUGCAUGUGGCACAUGCGUCGUGUCUGUCCCCUCGUUUAGCAGCUGUUGCCAUCGACUUUUGCUCUGGUAGCGAAAUUAUGUUAAAUGACUUAAUUUAUUAUGUUUGGUUUUUCGCCAACGAGAGGGGAAUCCAAUUGUAAUACGAUUGUGCGGCAGCAUUCGUGGGACACUUUCGCAAUAUGUCAUUUGGGGUGUGCGUGUGUGCAUGCGAAUAUAUGUGUGUGUGUGUGUGUGUGUGUGCAAGAGUGUGUGCGAUAAGGUAUAUAUGUAAAUGUAGACACAGCUGAUAACAUGAGCCUGCGACCCCUGUGCCCAAGGUUUAUCAUUUCAAGAACUUACAUGUUUUUUUUUAUCGCGGCAAUCGCUACUCUAGCGACUAACCUUAUAUAUUAUGGCACAUUUAUUGAGUAUCUAAAAAUUAAUGAAUAAUAAAUUGGGCAUAGAAGUCGAACUCCCCAUUUUGUUUCAAGAACUGCCUACAUGAAAGUCGGCCGGAUCUGAUCCGAUCUAAUCGUAUAAACUUUGUAUUACUUUAUGAUAAAGCCAAACUUGUGAUAUGCGCGUUUCUAUAAUUUCCAAACCAAUCUGUAAAUUCGUAUCAAAUCGGAACAGUAUAUUUUAUGUAUUUUCUAUCCAUAUGCCUAAAAGGAUAUUCAAUUUUCGAUAUGUCGAAGACAGCUGUUUUAUUUGUUUUCAAAAUUGUGUACCUUAAAUUAAAUUUCGCCUUAUAUUUGCUUCAGAUUUUUGUAUUUCGUAUCUCCGAUAAAAGUAAACUUAAGUUUGCUUCAGUUCUCAGUUCGAAGGGACACGGAGUUGUUGUGGAUCCGGCACGUUAGCUCUGCAUCAUCAUCAUGAAAGCGGGAAUGCGCCAAUUUCCUUACAAUGUUUCAGCAAACGGAAAGCACCUGGCGGGCAACCGAAAACAACUGGCGUGUCUUUAAGCAAAUCCUCGCCAGAUCGCAGUUCAUUUCAUUUCCCCAUUUCGCAGCGGCAAUCGAGCGGGGCAGCGGGGCAGAGGGCCAGCUUACAAGUUACAAGUUGUCAGGCCAUUAAGCUGAUUGAGUUCAGCUAAGUUUUUGAGCACAUUUUCCAUUACAAGUUGAUCAGUUUUGUGCCAAGUCUGUCUGAAGGAAGAGGGCAGCGCCGGUUCGCUUUAAUUUUACUGCUUGUUUGCUUUCACACUCUUAUUACAACAACAACAACAACAACAACAGGUCCUGAAGACUGAGAGGCAGUUCGAGAUUGAGAUCGAAUGUCUGCUCCACUUUUGAGCGUUGCCCUUGCACUCCUUUACCUUCUCGUUCUACCUGUGUUUAUCGGCUGCAGCUCCCCCCGCUCCAAACGCAUUUCCCGUUUGCAAUUUUCACUCGCUGCCCGUCUGAUUAUUAUAUUGUACGCACAUGUUCCGCCAUUAUGGAGUUAUUAUGAUCAAUAAGACAACUUAAAUGCUGCAAUUAAGUCGAGCCAGCGAUCUUU